UUUUUGCAGCCACCCCCUAGAAAACCCCACUUGCAAGUCCACACCUCCAAAUCCCGCAGCCCUAGCUUCUCCAGCCAUUUUUAGCCAUCAGAUUCUGAUCCGAAAGCUUAUAUUAGCCCAAUUCCCCACCUACCGGACAUGUCCGUUGCUAACUUGGACAUGCUCGGAUGUCCAGAGCCUCCCGCAACCAUGGAUGAGCCCG
rnacentral:lncRNA from 1 species